UUCACAUUCUGGCAUCGGGUGGCAGGCUUUGUCCAGCAAAGUUAUGGGUUCUUCGUCUUCAAAAACAGCUACUCCAUCUCAACUUCUUGAAAACCCAUGGAGGCAAAUUAACUAUGG